UACGGGGGGGGCAAGCGUUGUUCGGAAUUACUGGGCGUAAAGGGCUCGUAGGCGGCCAACUAAGUCGGACGUGAAAUCCCUCGGCUUAACCGGGGAACUGCGUCCGAUACUGGAUGGCUUGAGUUCGGGAGAGGGAUGCGGAAUUCCAGGUGUAGCGGUGAAAUGCGUAGAUAUCUGGAGGAACACCGGUGGCGAAGUCGGCAUCCUGGACCGACACUGACGCUGAGGAGCGAAAGCCAGGGGAGCAAACGGG
rnacentral:rRNA from 1 species